GGGCUUGUGGGGUAGAGGAUCAAUCCUGUCGGUCUUCGGAACCGACGACCCGGGUUCGAAUCCCGGCAGGCUCA
rnacentral:tRNA from 1 species